rnacentral:rRNA from 1 species
GACGAACGCUGGCGGCGUGCUUAACACAUGCAAGUCGAGCGGAAAGGCCCUGCUUUUGUGGGGUGCUCGAGUGGCGAACGGGUGAGUAACACGUGAGUAACCUGCCCUUGACUUUGGGAUAACUUCAGGAAACUGGGGCUAAUACCGGAUAGGAGCUCCUGCUGCAUGGUGGGGGUUGGAAAGUUUCGGCGGUUGGGGAUGGACUCGCGGCUUAUCAGCUUGUUGGUGGGGUAGUGGCUUACCAAGGCUUUGACGGGUAGCCGGCCUGAGAGGGUGACCGGCCACAUUGGGACUGAGGUACGGCCCAGACUCCUACGGGGGGCAGCAGUGGGGAAUAUUGCACAAUGGGCGGAAGCCUGAUGCAGCAACGCCGCGUGCGGGAUGACGGCCUUCGGGUUGUAAACCGCUUUCGCCUGUGACGAAGCGUGAGUGACGGUAAUGGGUAAAGAAGCACCGGCUAACUACGUG